UACGUAGGGGGCGAGCGUUAUCCGGAAUUACUGGGCGUAAAGCGCACGCAGGCGGUUCGCCAAGUUUGGAGUGACAGUUGUCGGCUCAACCGACAAAGGACUUCAAAAACUGGUGAACUUGAGGACGAGAGAGGAACAUGGAACUCCAGGUGUAGUAGUGAAAUGCGUAGAUAUCUGGAAGAACACCAAUGGCGAAGGCAAUGUUCUGGCUCGUUUCUGACGCUCAGGUGCGAAAGCCAGGGGAGCGAGCGGG
rnacentral:rRNA from 1 species